rnacentral:rRNA from 1 species
AAUAUUGCACAAUGGGCGCAAGCCUGAUGCAGCCAUGCCGCGUGUAUGAAGAAGGCCUUCGGGUUGUAAAGUACUUUCAGCGAGGAGGAAGGCAUUAAGGUUAAUAACCUUAGUGAUUGACGUUACUCGCAGAAGAAGCAACGGCCAACUCCGUGCCAGCAGCCGCGGUAAUACGGAGGGUGCAAGCGUUAAGCGGAAUUACUGGGCGUAAAGCGCACGCAGGCGGUCUGUCAAGUCGGAUGUGAAAUCCCCGGGCUCAACCUGGGAACUGCAUCCGAAACUGGCAGGCUAGAGUCUUGUAGAGGGGGGUAGAAUUCCAGGUGUAGCGGUGAAAUGCGUAGAGAUCUGGAGGAAUACCGGUGGCGAAGGCGGCCCCCUGGACAAAGACUGACGCUCAGGUGCGAAAGCGUGGGGAGCAAAC